rnacentral:rRNA from 1 species
CCUACGGGUGGCAGCAGUGAGGAAUAUUGGUCAAUGGGCGCGAGCCUGAACCAGCCAAGUCGCGUGAGGGAAGACGGUCCUAUGGAUUGUAAACCUCUUUUGUCAGGGAGCAACGCCGGCUACGUUUAGCCGGACUGAGAGUACCUGAAGAAAAAGCAUCGGCUAACUCCGUGCCAGCAGCCGCGGUAAUACGGAGGAUGCGAGCGUUAUCCGGAUUUAUUGGGUUUAAAGGGUGCGUAGGCGGAAUGCCAAGUCAGCGGUAAAAUCGCGGGGCUCAACCUCGCUCCGCCGUUGAAACUGGCGUUCUGGAGUGGGCGAGAAGUAGGCGGAAUGCGUGGUGUAGCGGUGAAAUGCAUAGAUAUCACGCAGAACUCCGAUUGCGAAGGCAGCAUACCGGCGCCCAACUGACGCUGAAGCACGAAAGCGUGGGUAUCGAACAGGAUUAGAUACCCUUGUAGUC